rnacentral:rRNA from 1 species
UACGAAGGGGGCUAGCGUUGUUCGGAAUUACUGGGCGUAAAGCGCGCGUAGGCGGACAUUUAAGUCAGGGGUGAAAUGCCGGGGCUCAACCUCGGAACUGCCUUUGAUACUGGAUGUCUGGAGUUCGGGAGAGGUGAGUGGAAUUCCGAGUGUAGAGGUGAAAUUCGUAGAUAUUCGGAAGAACACCAGUGGCGAAGGCGGCUCACUGGCCCGGUACUGACGCUGAUGUGCGAAAGCGUGGGGAGCAAACAGG